CGUACACUCCUGCGGGAGGCAGCAGUGGGGAAUAUUGCACAAUGGGCGCAAGCCUGAUGCAGCGACGCCGCGUGGGGGAUGAAGGCCUUCGGGUUGUAAACUCCUUUCGCUAGGGACGAAGCUUUUUUGUGACGGUACCUAGAUAAGAAGCACCGGCUAACUACGUGCCAGCAGCCGCGGUAAUACGUAGGGUGCGAGCGUUGUCCGGAAUUACGGGGCGUAAAGGGCUCGUAGGUGGUUUGUCGCGUCGUCUGUGAAAUUCUGGGGCUUAACUCCGGGCGUGCAGGCGAUACGGGCAUAACUUGAGUGCUGUAGGGGUAACUGGAAUUCCUGGUGUAGCGGUGAAAUGCGCAGAUAUCAGGAGGAACACCGAUGGCGAAGGCAGGUUACUGGGCAGUUACUGACGCUGAGGAGCGAAAGCAUGGGUAGCGAACAGGAUUAGAUACCCCAGUAGUCCC
rnacentral:rRNA from 1 species